ensembl:snoRNA SNORD42 Small nucleolar RNA SNORD42
GUGCAAAUGAUAGAAAAAUUUUAAUCUGAGACUGGUGAUGUCUUCAAAGGAACCACUGAUGCAC